rnacentral:rRNA from 1 species
AGAGUUUGAUCAUGGCUCAGAGUGAACGCUGGCGGCGUGCUUAACACAUGCAAGUCGAACGAGAACGGGUAUUAGCUUGCUAAUACUGUCAGCUAAGUGGCGCACGGGUGAGUAAUAUAUAGGUAAUGUGCCUUCGAGAAGGGGAUAACAGUUGGAAACGACUGCUAACACCCUAUAUGCCUUUAAUACAUAAGUAUGCAAGGGAAACAUUUAUGGCUCGAAGAUCGGCCUGUACAGUAUCAGUUAGUUGGUGAGGUAAUGGCUCACCAAGACAAUGACGCUUAACUGGUUUGAGAGGAUGAUCAGUCACACUGGAACUGAGACACGGUCCAGACUCCUACGGGAGGCAGCAGUGGGGAAUAUUGCACAAUGGACGAAAGUCUGAUGCAGCAACGCCGCGUGGAGGAUGACACAUUUCGGUGCGUAAACUCCUUUUAUAUAGGAAGAUAAUGACGGUACUAUAUGAAUAAGCGCCGGCUAACUCCGUGCCAGCAGCCGCGGUAAUACGGAGGGCGCAAGCGUUACUCGGAAUCACUGGGCGUAAAGAGCGUGUAGGCGGAUAAAUAAGUUGGGAGUGAAAUCCUAUGGCUCAACCAUAGAACUGCUUCCAAAACUGUUUAUCUAGAAUAUGGGAGAGGUAGAUGGAAUUUCUGGUGUAGGGGUAAAAUCCGUAGAGAUCAGAAAGGAAUACCGAUUGCGAAGGCGAUCUACUGGAACAUUAUUGACGCUGAGACGCGAAAGCGUGGGGAGCAAACAGGAUUAGAUACCCUGGUAGUCCACGCCCUAAACGAUGUACACUAGUUUGUUGUGAGGCUAGACCUUGCAGUAAUGCAGUUAACACAUUAAGUGUACCGCCUGGGGGAGUACGGUCGCAAGAAUAAAACUCAAAGGAAUAAGACCGGGGACCCGCACAAGCGGUGGGAGCAUGUGGUUAAUUCGACGAUACGCGAAGAACCUUACCUGGACUGGACAUAGUAAGAACUUCUAGAAGAAUAAGAAGAGGGUGUCUGCUUGGCGAACUUUAUUACAGGUGCCUGCACGCCUGUCGGUCAGCCUCGUGGUCCUGUGAAGAUGUUGGAUUAAGUUCCCGCAACCGAGCGCCA